CUCAGGAAUGUCCCUGAGAUGGCUCAUGGCUGAGUCGCUGAGCGGCCGUGACUCAGCCAGUUUCCGCCCUGGCUGUCUGUCUGUCCGUCAGUCGGUCUGUCUGGGAGUCUGCCUCCUCCGAGGGCACUGGUGGGAGAUUCCAGUCAGCCGUGUUCCCGCUGGGAAGUGGAAAGCUCAGGAAGAAAUUCAAACACAUCUCUCCGUUACACUUCACUGUAACCCGGUGUUUCUUUAUGAUCGAAGCCAGUGCUCAACAUCAGACAUUGGACGAAGAGGAAGGUAGUGCUGAGGAGCCCAAUAGAUUGCUGUCCUGAGAUUCAUAUUCCAGUGGAGAGCAGGGAAAACAGAAGGUACAAACUGCCAGACGAGACCACUUCUGCAACUACGUUAUAGAAUGGCUUGCAAAUGCUGAAAAUAUAGAUGUCGGAUCAUCUUGUGAGAUGUGCUUAAGAUUAUGAACAUUGUGCAUAAAAUUGAAAACACUCAACUCAGAAAAGGGCUUUGGUCUCUUGUUCUGAAGUUCUUCAGGAACUAAGGGCAGGAGUCGGUGAGGAGGCUGUCUCCUCCAUACCACACACAGUGAAUCUCCUCA
rnacentral:lncRNA from 1 species